rnacentral:rRNA from 1 species
UACGGAGGGUGCGAGCGUUGUUCGGAAUUACUGGGCGUAAAGCGCGUGUAGGCGGCCUCUUCAGUCUGGUGUGAAAGCCUGGGGCUCAACCCCGGAAGUGCAUUGGAUACUGGGAGGCUGGAGUACCGGAGAGGAGGGUGGAAUUCCUGGUGUAGCGGUGAAAUGCGUAGAUAUCAGGAGGAACACCUGUGGCGAAGGCGGCCCUCUGGACGGAUACUGACGCUGAGACGCGAAAGCGUGGGGAGCAAACAGG